CCUGCAGACUGUCCACCCGAUCCGCACCUGUCCCCGCUGUAUUACAGCUUUGCCCAGGGAAACAGGCAAGCUGACUACAGCCGUUUGGGACUCCGCGUAGCCGCGUCGUAGGCUUCUCACCCUGACUCGUCCCUCCUCUAUCGCGAACUGGCUCGCGAUGGCGGUACAUAUCUCGCUCUCUGUCGCGAGGGAGUCGAGAUCGCGGAUUUCCAAGGCGACCACCUUCGAUUCCUCUGACAGCGCUCGCACUGCCGCUGCGUCGCCAAGUACGCGGGCGAUGCUCUCCUUCAUGGCCUCAGCGCUCUCUGAGCUGUCUUUUGCCACCUCCAACAGAAGAUUACCGUUGAAGGUGCGGCGUACCCUGGAAACGCAGCUUCCCAGGUCCGACAGCUGGUUGUCCUCCCUCCUGGUCACCAUGGCCAAUACCUCGCUGUACGUCUUGCCGCCAGCUUGCACUACGACCGCGUCGGGGCGUGCGCGGUGCGCUAUCCUCGUCUUCUUGGC
rnacentral:lncRNA from 1 species